GAUGAAGAACGUAGCGAAAUGCGAUAAGUAAUGUGAAUUGCAGAAUUCAGUGAAUCAUCGAAUCUUUGAACGCACAUUGCGCCCGCCAGUAUUCUGGCGGGCAUGCCUGUUCGAGCGUCAUUACAACCCUCAGGCCCCCGGGCCUGGCGUUGGGGAUCGGCGGAGCCCCCCGUGGGCACACGCCGUCCCCCAAAUGCAGUGGCGGUCCCGCCGCAGCUUCCAUCGCGUAGUAGCUAACACCUCGCGACUGGAGAGCGGCGCGGCCACGCCGUAAAAAACCCAACUCUUCUGAAGUUGACCUCGAAUCAGGUAGGAAUACCCGCUGAACUUAAGCAUAUCAAUAAGCGGAGGA
rnacentral:misc_RNA from 1 species